UUUGUGGUCACUGAAGCAAGUGGAUACAAGCAAGGAACUCAAAACCAAACGGAAAAAGACAACCAAAACCUUCCGGUUUUCGUGAGGGAGCAAAGAACCAGAUGGAAGCAAACUGAGGAGCAACUUAAGGAAAGUCUGAAUCCUAGCUUAAUAUAAGUAGCUGCAACACUGUGUGAAGUCCUACCUGUACUGUACAGAACUGCAAGGGCAGUUGGUAGAAGCAUGAGAGAGAGGACAGGAAAGGCCAGCUGAUGAACUUAGUAUGCAAGCAGUAAUUAAAAUAAAUCUCUGACAUACU